rnacentral:rRNA from 1 species
UAGGGAAUCUUCGGCAAUGGACGAAAGUCUGACCGAGCAACGCCGCGUGAGUGAAGAAGGUUUUCGGAUCGUAAAACUCUGUUGUUAGAGAAGAACAAGGACGUUAGUAACUGAACGUCCCCUGACGGUAUCUAACCAGAAAGCCACGGCUAACUACGUGCCAGCAGCCGCGGUAAUACGUAGGUGGCAAGCGUUGUCCGGAUUUAUUGGGCGUAAAGCGAGCGCAGGCGGUUUCUUAAGUCUGAUGUGAAAGCCCCCGGCUCAACCGGGGAGGGUCAUUGGAAACUGGGAGACUUGAGUGCAGAAGAGGAGAGUGGAAUUCCAUUUGUAGCGGUGAAAUGCGUAGAUAUAUGGAGGAACACCAGUGGCGAAGGCGGCUCUCUGGUCUGUAACUGACGCUGAGGCUCGAAAGCGUGGGGAGCAAACAGG